AAAGCCUGACGCAGCCAUGCCGGGUGGAUGAUGAAGGUCUUAGGAUUGUAAAUUCCUUUCACCGGGGAAGAUAAUGACUGUACCCGGAGAAGAAGCCCCGGCUAACUUCGUGCCAGCAGCCGCGGUAAUACGAAGGGGGCUAGCGUUGCUCGGAAUUACUGGGCGUAAAGGGCGCGUAGGCGGACAUUUAAGUCAGGGGUGAAAUCCCAGAGCUCAACUCUGGAACUGCCCUUGAUACUGGAUGUCUUGAGUGUGAUAGAGGUAGGUGGAACUCCGAGUGUAGCGGUGAAAUUCGUAGAUAUUCGGAAGAACACCAGUGGCAAAGGCGACGUACUGCCUCAUUACUGACGCU
rnacentral:rRNA from 1 species